UAAGAUGGCGGCGAUUACUUCAUUUCCGGCGACCGGUAAGAUGGCGGCGAUUACGUAAUUUCCGGCGGUCGGGAAGAUAGCGGCGAUUACGUCAUUUCUGGUCGGAGGCCAGAUGGCGCUGACGACGUGCACGAGGUGUUGAAUAAUGCUACAGCGCUGCGCAAAAAUGGACAUUUUCGGUGGGUUUUAACGGAUCCGCUACGUUCAGAUUCAGAUUCAGAUUCAACUUUAAUUGUCGUUGUCAGUGUACAGUACAGAGACAACGAAAAGCGGUUAGCAUCUCCCUGGAAGAUGGAGUUGGAAACAAUGGAAAUAGUCAUCAAGAGGCAGUGAGCAGCAGAACACAACAAGACACAACAAGACACAACAAGUAAAAACUUAAUAAAUCUCAUCUUUAAAAUUUAAAUUGUUCUUAUAUUUUAAGAGUCAUUCACAUUUAAAACUUUAAUAGAACCUUUUUGCACUUUUAAUGCUGUGUGUUCUUCAUCACAAUAGAACCUAAUAGGCAGGAAUGGCUGCUCUGUGGGAGAGCCACUAAGAGUGCAUGGGGGGGGGAGAUUGUUUGGAGAUGCACUGAAUGUGUGGGUGGGAGGGGAAUGGCAAGGAG